rnacentral:rRNA from 1 species
GAUGAACGCUGGCGGCGUGCCUAAUACAUGCAAGUCGAGCGAAAAGACGAGGCUCUUGCUCCUCUGACGUUAGCCGCGGACGGGUGAGAAACACGUGGAUAACCUACCUAUAAGACUGGGAUAACUUCGGGAAACCGGCGCAAAUACCGGAUAAUCUAUUGAAGCGUAUGGGUCAAUAGUGAAAGACGGCUUUGCUGUCACUUAUAGAUGGAUACGCGCCGCAUGAGCUAGUUGGUAAGGUAACGGCUUAUCAGGGCAAGGAUGCGUAGCCGACCUGAUAGGGUGGUAGGCCACCCUGGAGCUGAGCUGCGGACCAUGGGACUGCGAGAGGCAGCAGUAGGGAACCUGCCGCAGUGGGCGAAAGCCUGACGGAGCAACCCGGAGUGAGAGAUGAAGGUCUUGCGAGCGUAAUACUGUGCUAUGAGUUAAAAACAAAUGUGGAAGUAACUAUGCACGGCUUGACGGUACUUGGUCAGAAAGCCACGGCUAACUACGUG